UACGUAGGGUGCGAGCGUUGUCCGGAAUUAUUGGGCGUAAAGGGCUCGUAGGCGGCCAACUAAGUCAGACGUGAAAUCCCUCGGCUUAACCGGGGAACUGCAUCUGAUACUGGAUGGCUUGAGUUCGGGAGAGGGAUGCGGAAUUCCAGGUGUAGCGGUGAAAUGCGUAGAUAUCUGGAGGAACACCGGUGGCGAAGGCGGCAUCCUGGACCGACACUGACGCUGAGGGGCGAAAGCCAGGGGAGCAAACGGG
rnacentral:rRNA from 1 species